rnacentral:lncRNA from 1 species
CAAAACCUUAUUGACCAACAAAUAAUUUGUUGUACACAUCUGCUGGGAUAUCAAUUUCCAUGUGUCUCUUGUUUUUACAUGUCUUGUGAUCAGAGGCAGUGACUGCUGUUUUUCCUGUGCUAUUUUUUUCAAGGAAUUGUUUUUACAGCUAACAGCCUUGGGAGAUACAGUGUCUCUCUCUAAAGCAGAGGCAGGAUUUCCUAAUAUAAUAAUGAUAGGACAUGAUAUGUGAUAUAAUAUAAUGUAAUUCCUCUAGAACACAUGAGCAGACAGGUUUACUUCCAUUAUAUAAGAUUUGAGUUCCCUAGGCUCAGGGAUCUUCUUUAACACAACCCAUUGCAGGUACAAAUAUCACCUGGCCCACUUAGAGUUGCCCUUUGGGAGUUUUGUUCAUAGAACUGGAGGGAGGCAAUGCUGAUAUUUUGGCUACUGAUAUUUCUUGAGUAAUAAAGUCCUUUGCCUUUGUCUAUGGGUCUCACGGCUUUUGACAGAAUCUGUGAAACUGUGGUGUGCUUCUAGUUUGCUAGAAGCAAACUUCUAACUUCUAGUUCACUUCUAGUUUGGAUUGAACCUCAGACUGCUCAUUGUUCUGAACAUCUUGAAAAGAAACAAAGAACAGUGGGACUACUUCAAGAAGGGAGGAAGGAGACAAGGUUUUCCCUCCAUGCACGCUUUCUGAAUUUCUACCCUUGGCAUUACGUGUGUUUAAUAUUUUCCCCAACCUUCAACCAUGUAGGGACAUGUUCUUCAUGAUAAAUCUUCAAUGCAAUCGUAUGUAUUUCCGGCAUAUUCAUCUGAAGAUGCUAUAUGGCAAGCAUUAUCCUGGGCAUUGGAAAUACUGUAGUGAAUCACAGAGGCAAGAUCUCAGCUCUCAUGGAGCUUGGAGGCUAAUGGGAGAGACAGCCAGCCAACUAACAACAACAACAAAAAAACAAUAAAUAAAGAUCCAAAUGCCAAAAAAACUAAACAAGGUAAUGCGGAAAGGGAGCUUGGGGUGCUUUGUGAGAUGGCAUAGUUAAGAAUGGCCAUUGUUAGUAGGUGACAUUUGAGCGGAACCCUCAAUAAUAAGAGAGAAGAAACCAUGUCAAGAUCUUAGAAAAUUUCCUUCCAGACAGAGGAAACAGCAAGGCAAAGAUUCUAGGUCUGUGAUUUGCCACCAUUUACAUUUACCUAGCUAUUCUUUACAUAAACAUUUUACCCAUGCUAAUGGGGCAUAAGAGUGUUUGUCCUUAUUCAUUUUACUUGGAGGCUUGUACAGUUUGGAGGAAAGAUCAAUUGAUGAUCAUUCUCUAUAUUUAUCUGCCACGAUAACAUACUGUAUUUUACUGGUGCAAGUAGCUGUUGGGGUUGAACUCUCCUGUGUUCUCGAAACUAGACCUUCUCAGGGCGCCUGGG